rnacentral:rRNA from 1 species
AGUGAACGCUGGCGGUAGGCCUAACACAUGCAAGUCGAACGGCAGCACAGUAAGAGCUUGCUCGUACGGGUGGCGAGUGGCGGACGGGUGAGGAAUACAUCGGAAUCUACUUUUUCGUGGGGGAUAACGUAGGGAAACUUACGCUAAUACCGCAUACGACCUACGGGUGAAAGCAGGGGAUCUUCGGACCUUGCGCGAUUGAAUGAGCCGAUGUCGGAUUAGCUAGUUGGCGGGGUAAAGGCCCACCAAGGCGACGAUCCGUAGCUGGUCUGAGAGGAUGAUCAGCCACACUGGAACUGAGACACGGUCCAGACUCCUACGGGAGGCAGGAGUGGGGAAUAUUGGAGAAUGGGCGCAAGCCUGAUCCAGCCAUACCGCGUGGGUGAAGAAGGCCUUCGGGUUGUAAAGCCCUUUUGUUGGGAAAGAAAAGCAGCAGGUUAAUACCCCGCUGUUCUGACGGUACCCAAAGAAUAAGCACCGGCUAACUUCGUG